CCGGAGUUGGCCGAGUGGACAAUGGCAACAGACUGUAAAUCUGUCAAAUCCCUGGUUCGAAUCCAGGACUCCGGACCA
rnacentral:tRNA from 1 species